AAGAUCGAAGCGACUCUGCAGAUCGAAUUGCAAGUGACAACUCAUUGGAAGACUCAAGGACAACUCCAGACUUGAGAGGAGAUGGCACUUCCAGCAUGUUCAUGCAACAGACAUUUGUUACCUCUACCCCAGUCAGACACAGACAGAGUUUGGGUUCUGCACAAACAAUCAGACAGAAAGACUUCUUUACCAGCCAAGAGUCAACAGAAAUACACUUUGAGGAAACAGAGGAUACCCAACUAAGCUCCCUGGAGUCUGAAAGUGAUUCUACUGAAGUGGGUGAUCAAAG